GAUGAAGAACGUAGCGAAAUGCGAUAAGUAGUGUGAAUUGCAGAAUUCAGUGAAUCAUCGAAUCUUUGAACGCACAUUGCGCCCCUUGGUAUUCCAUGGGGCAUGCCUGUUCGAGCGUCAUUUGUACCCUCAAGCUUUGCUUGGUGUUGGGUGUUUGUCCUCUCCUUUGCGUUUGGACUCGCCUUAAAGCAAUUGGCAGCCAGUGUUUUGGUAUUGAAGCGCAGCACAUUUUGCGAUUCUAGCCGAUAAUACUUGCGUCCAUAAGCCUUUUUUAACUUUUGACCUCGGAUCAGGUAGGGAUACCCGCUGAACUUAAGCAUAUCAAUAAGCGAGGA
rnacentral:misc_RNA from 1 species